AUUGAACGCUGGCGGCAGGCUUAACACAUGCAAGUCGAGCGGAGUGAUGGUGCUUGCACUAUCACUUAGCGGCGGACGGGUGAGUAAUGCUUAGGAAUCUGCCUAUUAGUGGGGGACAACAUCUCGAAAGGGAUGCUAAUACCGCAUACGUCCUACGGGAGAAAGCGGGGGAUCACUUGUGACCUUGCGCUAAUAGAUGAGCCUAAGUCGGAUUAGCUAGUUGGUGGGGUAAAGGCCUACCAAGGCGACGAUCUGUAGCGGGUCUGAGAGGAUGAUCCGCCACACUGGGACUGAGACACGGCCCAGACUCCUACGGGAGGCAGCAGUGGGGAAUAUUGGACAAUGGGGGGAACCCUGAUCCAGCCAUGCCGCGUGUGUGAAGAAGGCCUUAUGGUUGUAAAGCACUUUAAGCGAGGAGGAGGCUCUUUUGGUUAAUACCCAGAAUGAGUGGACGUUACUCGCAGAAUAAGCACCGGCUAACUCUGUGCCAGCCGCCGCCGUAAGAC
rnacentral:rRNA from 1 species